UACGAAGGGGGCUAGCGUUGCUCGGAAUCACUGGGCGUAAAGGGCGCGUAGGCGGAUCGCUAAGUCAGGGGUGAAAUCCCAGGGCUCAACCCUGGAACUGCCUUUGAUACUGAAGAUCUUGAGUUCGGGAGAGGUGAGUGGAACUGCGAGUGUAGAGGUGAAAUUCGUAGAUAUUCGCAAGAACACCAGUGGCGAAGGCGGCUCACUGGCCCGAUACUGACGCUGAGACGCGAAAGCGUGGGGAGCGAACAGG
rnacentral:rRNA from 1 species